rnacentral:rRNA from 1 species
GAUGAACGCUAGCGGGAGGCCUAACACAUGCAAGCCGAGCGGUAGAGUCUCUUCGGAGACUUGAGAGCGGCGCACGGGUGCGGAACACGUGUGCAACCUGCCUUUAUCUGGUGGAUAGCCUUUCGAAAGGAAGAUUAAUACCCCAUAAUAUACUGGAUGGCAUCAUCUGGUAUUGAAAACUCCGGUGGAUAGAGAUGGGCACGCGCAAGAUUAGAUAGUUGGUGAGGUAACGGCUCACCAAGUCAGCGAUCUUUAGGGGGCCUGAGAGGGUGAUCCCCCACACUGGUACUGAGACACGGACCAGACUCCUACGGGAGGCAGCAGUGAGGAAUAUUGGACAAUGGGUGAGAGCCUGAUCCAGCCAUCCCGCGUGAAGGACGACGGCCCUAUGGGUUGUAAACUUCUUUUGUAUAGGGAUAAACCUAGAUACGUGUAUCUAGCUGAAGGUACUAUACGAAUAAGCACCGGCUAACUCCGUG